rnacentral:rRNA from 1 species
GUGGCCAAGUUUUUAAGGGCGCACGGUGGAUGCCUUGGCACCAGGAACCGAUGAAGGACGUGGGAGGCCACGAUAGGCCCCGGGGAGUCGUCAACCAGGCUUUGAUCCGGGGGUGUCCGAAUGGGGAAACCCGGCAGUCGUCAUGGGCUGUCACCCGCUGCUGAACACAUAGGCAGUGUGGAGGGAACGCGGGGAAGUGAAACAUCUCAGUACCCGCAGGAAGAGAAAACAACCGUGAUUCCGGGAGUAGUGGCGAGCGAAACCGGAUGAGGCCAAACCGUAUACGUGUGAGACCCGGCAGGGGUUGCGUGUGCGGGGUUGUGGGAUCUCUCUUUUACGGUCUGCCGGCCGUGAGACGAGUCAGAAACCGUUGAUGUAGGCGAAGGACAUGCGAAAGGUCCGGCGUAGAGGGUAAGACCCCCGUAGUCGAAACGUCAACGGCUCGUUUGAGAGACACCCAAGUAGCACGGGGCCCGAGAAAUCCCGUGUGAAUCUGGCGGGACCACCCGCUAAGCCUAAAUAUUCCCUGGUGACCGAUAGCGGAUAGUACCGUGAGGGAAUGGUGAAAAGUACCGCGGGAGCGGAGUGAAAUAGUACCUGAAACCGUGUGCCUACAAGCCGUGGGAGCGUCGGACAUCAAGCUUGCUUGGUGUCUCGUGACUGCGUGCCUUUUGAAGAAUGAGCCUGCGAGUUUGCGGUGUGUUGCGAGGUUAACCCGGGUGGGGAAGCCGUAGCGAAAGCGAGUCCGAAUAGGGCGUUUUUAGUAGCACGCUCAAGACCCGAAGCGGAGUGAUCUAGCCAUGGGCAGGUUGAAGCGGCUGUAAGAGGUCGUGGAGGACCGAACCCACCAGGGUUGAAAACCUGGGGGAUGACCUGUGGUUAGGGGUGAAAGGCCAAUCAAACUCCGUGAUAGCUGGUUCUCCCCGAAAUGCAUUUAGGUGCAGCGUCGUGUGUUUCUUGCCGGAGGUAGAGCACUGGAUAGGCGAUGGGCCCUACCGGGUUACUGACCUUAGCCAAACUCCGAAUGCCGGUAAGUGAGAGCGCGGCAGUGAGACUGUGGGGGAUAAGCUCCAUGGUCGAGAGGGAAACAGCCCAGAGCAUCGACUAAGGCCCCUAAGCGUACGCUAAGUGGGAAAGGAUGUGGAGUCGCACAGACAACCAGGAGGUUGGCUUAGAAGCAGCCACCCUUGAAAGAGUGCGUAAUAGCUCACUGGUCUAGUGAUUCCGCGCCGACAAUGUAGCGGGGCUCAAGCGUACCGCCGAAGUCGUGUCAUUGCAGCAAUACGGCCAACGCCGGCUGUGAUGGGUAGGGGAGCGUCGUGUGCCGGGUGAAGCAGCCGCGGAAGCGAGUUGUGGACGGUUCACGAGUGAGAAUGCAGGCAUGAGUAGCGAUACAAACGUGAGAAACGUUUGCGCCGAUUGACUAAGGGUUCCUGGGUCAAGCUGAUCUGCCCAGGGUAAGUCGGGACCUAAGGCGAGGCCGACAGGCGUAGUCGAUGGAUAACCGGUUGAUAUUCCGGUACCCGCUGUGAAGCGUCAAACAUCGAGCAUCGUGAUGCUAAGGCCGUGAAGCCGCCCUGAUCUCUUCGGAGUUGAGGGGAGUGGUGGAGCCGCCGAACCAAGCGGUUAGUAGGUGAGUGAUGGGGUGACGCAGGAAGGUAGUCCAUCCCGGGCGGUGGUUGUCCCGGGGUAAGGGUGUAGGCCGGUGUGUAGGUAAAUCCGCACACCUUGUGGCUGAGACCUGAUGCCGAGCCGAUUGUGGUGAAGUGGAUGAUCCUAUGCUGUCGAGAAAAGCCUCUAGCGAGUUUCAUGGCGGCCCGUACCCUAAACCGACUCAGGUGGUCAGGUAGAGAAUACCGAGGCGUUCGGGUGAACUAUGGUUAAGGAACUCGGCAAAAUGCCCCCGUAACUUCGGGAGAAGGGGGGCCACACCUGGUGACGAGUUUUGCACUCUGAGCUGGGGGUGGCCGCAGAGACCAGCGAGAAGCGACUGUUUACUAAAAACACAGGUCCGUGCGAAGCCGUAAGGCGAUGUAUACGGACUGACGCCUGCCCGGUGCUGGAACGUUAAGGGGACCGGUUAGUCACAUUUCGGUGUGGCGAAGCUGAGAACUUAAGCGCCAGUAAACGGCGGUGGUAACUAUAACCAUCCUAAGGUAGCGAAAUUCCUUGUCGGGUAAGUUCCGACCUGCACGAAUGGCGUAACGACUUCUCGACUGUCUCAACCAUAGGCCCGGUGAAAUUGCACUACGAGUAAAGAUGCUCGUUUCGCGCAGCAGGACGGAAAGACCCCGGGACCUUUACUACAGUUUGAUAUUGGUGUUCGGUUCGGCUUGUGUAGGAUAGCUGGGAGACUUUGAAGCUCGCACGCCAGUGUGGGUGGAGUCGUCGUUGAAAUACCAGUCUGGUCGUGCUGGAUGUCUAACCUGGGUCCGUGAUCCGGAUCAGGGACAGUGUCUGAUGGGUAGUUUAACUGGGGCGGUUGCCUCCUAAAGAGUAACGGAGGCGCCCAAAGGUUCCCUCAGCCUGGUUGGCAAUCAGGUGUUGAGUGUAAGUGCACAAGGGAGCUUGACUGUGAGACCGACGGGUCGAGCAGGGACGAAAGUCGGGACUAGUGAUCCGGCGGUGGCUUGUGGAAGCGCCGUCGCUCAACGGAUAAAAGGUACCCCGGGGAUAACAGGCUGAUCUUCCCCAAGAGUCCAUAUCGACGGGAUGGUUUGGCACCUCGAUGUCGGCUCGUCGCAUCCUGGGGCUGGAGUCGGUCCCAAGGGUUGGGCUGUUCGCCCAUUAAAGCGGUACGCGAGCUGGGUUUAGAACGUCGUGAGACAGUUCGGUCCCUAUCCGCUGUGCGCGUAGGAGUCUUGAGAAGGGCUGUCCCUAGUACGAGAGGACCGGGACGGACGAACCUCUGGUGUGCCAGUUGUCCUGCCAAGGGCAUGGCUGGUUGGCUACGUUCGGGAGGGAUAACCGCUGAAAGCAUCUAAGCGGGAAGCCUGCUUCGAGAUGAGGACUCCCACCCCCUUGAGGGGUUAAGGCUCCCAGUAGACGACUGGGUUGAUAGGCCGGAUCUGGAAGCACCGUGAGGUGUGGAGGUGACCGGUACUAAUAGGCCGAGGGCUUGUCCUC